rnacentral:misc_RNA from 1 species
GAUGAAGAACGCAGCGAAAUGCGAUACGUAAUGUGAAUUGCAGAAUUCAGUGAAUCAUCGAAUCUUUGAACGCACAUUGCGCCCGCCAGUAUUCUGGCGGGCAUGCCUGUUCGAGCGUCAUUUCAACCAUCAAGCCCCCGGCUUGUGUUGGGGACCUGCGGCUGCCGCAGGCCCUGAAAUGCAGUGGCGGGCUCGCUGUCACUCCGAGCGUAGUAGUUACAUCUCGCUCUGGGCGUGCUGCGGGUUCCGGCCGUUAAAAGCCUUAUUUACCCAAGGUUGACCUCGGAUCAGGUAGGAAGACCCGCUGAACUUAAGCAUAUCAAUAAGCGGAGGA